AUCUGAGGAUUUGAAGAUUUCUCUGCAAGUAGGCUUGGGUUUUUAAAAUCCUUUGAAUCCAAUCUCGGUUUAAUACCUGGAUCAUCAAAACACCAAACUUUUCAACUUCAACUUGAAAAGAUAUAUUCUUUUUGAGAUUUGGGCAGUCUCUCUCAAUUGAACCCACAAGAUGCAGAGGCCUCCGCCCGAAGAAUUUGUAUUGAAGGAGACCAAACCCCAUCUGGGAGGGGGAAAGGUCACUGGUGACAAGCUCACGAGCACCUAUGAUCUUGUUGAACAGAUGCAAUAUCUCUAUGUCCGGGUUGUUAAGGCCAAGGACUUGCCUGGGAAAGAUGUUACAGGUACCUGUGACCCUUAUGUGGAAAUUAAGCUUGGAAACUAUAAGGGUACCACUCGGCAUUUUGAGAAGAAGUCCAAUCCUGAGUGGAACCAGGUGUUUGCA
rnacentral:misc_RNA from 1 species